rnacentral:rRNA from 1 species
AUUGAACGCUGGCGGCAUGCUUUACACAUGCAAGUCGGACGAGUGGCGAACGGGUGAGUAACGCAUCGGAACGUACCGAGAAAUGGGGGAGAACUGUCCGAAAGGACAGCUAAUACCGCAUAUUAGUCGAGCGGCCGAGGUCUGAGUAGCUGGUUGGCGGGGUAAAGGCCCACCAAGACGACGAUCAGUAGCGGGUCUGAGAGGAGGAUCCGCCACCCUGUGACUGAGACACGGCCCAGACUCCUACGGGAGGCAGCAGUGGGGAAUUUUGGACGAUGGGCGCAAGCCUGAUCCAGCCAUGCCGCGUGUCUGAAGAAGGCCUUCGGGUUGUAAAGUUCUUUCGGUGACGAGGCGUUAAUCACAGAAGAAGCACCGGCUAACUCCGUGCCAGCAGCCGCGGUAAUUC